rnacentral:pre_miRNA from 1 species
UUGUGAUGGUUGUGGUGGUGGUGGUAGUGGUGGUGGUGAGGAUGAUCAUGAUUACCUUCAUCAUCAUCAUCAUCAUCAUCAUCAUCAUCAUCAUCA